rnacentral:lncRNA from 13 species
GGCAACCAGGCAGGAAAAGGUGGUGGAGCAGACUUGCUGAGUCUUCCAGUCCUACCUUUCUCCCGUGCUGGAUGAUUCCUUCCCUUGAACAUCAGACUCCAAGUUCUUCAGCUUUUGAACUCUUGGACUUACACCAGUGGUUUGCCAGGGGCUCUCAGGACUUUGGCCACAGACUGAAGUCUUCACCAUCACCUUCCUCACUUUUGAGGUUUGGGGACUUGGACUCAUGCACCACUGGCUUCCUUGCUCCUUGACCUGCAGACGGCCUAUCAUGGGACUUUGUGAUUGUGAGAGACAUAAUAUGUGUGCAAAUAAUUACAUUACAUCUGAACUUUUGGAAUACAAUUUCUUUAUAAGCUGGAAGCCAUCUAUAUUCAGGGAACAAAAUGACAUAAUAGCCAAUAAGUGCCCCUAGAAAGAAGAAACAGCAUCUGCUUCCAUAGAACAAGUUUCAGAAGUGGGAGUCUGUGCCUACAAGUCUCCCGCAUUCAGAAGUCUGCAGAGGUCAUCUUCAGGAACAAUGGAGAAGAAGGCUAAUUUAGUCUCUAGUUCCCCUUUUCUGCCCCUAUCCUGGUGUUGUCCUUCCUGGUACCCCAACAUUCCUUCUGACUUUGUAGUCUUUUAUUCCUUUUUUAAAAUACCCAGAAUGAUUAAAAUGAUUCAAAUCAGCUCUACAUAAUCCUUCUUUCUGAAAUGUGUGCUUUAUAACAUAGAACAAGGUCAACGUUUGAUUAAGCCAAAGGAAUACAUCUCUAAUUGUAGAAUUUUUACACAUUAAGGUAUGGGUAAGGUAGGAACUGAAGGGAAAGUGGAUUUUCCCAGCACCUAAGAAAUUAUACUAUAUAAAUAGCUACUUUAUCUUACCUGCUCUUUAAGAGGCUGAUAAUUCAGUAGUGAUUUUCAACUCUGGCAGCCCUUUAGAAUCUCUGAGAGUUUUAAAGACAUAUAUGAUGGCACAGGCCCUGCCCAUAAAGAUUCUGACUUCAUUGGUCCAAAUGCAACAGGAGUAUUGCUAUAGUAUUUUUAAAAUUUUGCCAGUAAUUCUAACAGGGAGCCAGAAUUGAAAACCAUUAUAUGUAGGUGCAAAGCCCCAUUGUUCUUCCCUCCAGAGACUCUUCUCUCCCAUCCCUGCCCUGGUCUCUGGACCCCUAGCAGACAUGACAGUUCUUCAUUUUUCCUUCUCUGCUCACCCGUCUUCCCUGGCUCCACAGGGCUGAGUGGGCCAGGGUGUCUGAGGGAACGGCAGUGCUUCCCUGCCU